AUGCUGCAGAAGCUGGCCUCCAGCCCGGAGCUGCUCGAGGCGGGCUCCAUGGACCUGAGAAACAUGGUCCCCGUGCGCGACUUCCGGCCGCCAAAGUUCACCGUGUCGUACAAGACGGAGGCGACGGGGCUGCUGCAGGGCCUCGGGCUGCGCCUGCCGUUCGACGGCGACGCCACCGACUUCUCGGAGAUGCUGGAGGAAUCCACAGGGUCCCUCGUCGUGCCAAACGUCUACCACCAGUCCCUGGUGGAGGUGAACGAGGAAGGGACCGAAGCGGCUGCGACGACCGCGGUAACCAGUAUGACUUUUACCUGUCCCGCGGUGAUGAGCAGGCCGGUCAAAUACGUGGACUUCGUCGCCGACCACCCUUUCAUGUUCUUGAUCAAGGAGGAGCUCACCGGCGUCGUGGUGUUCGCCGGGCAAGUUGUGGAUCCUUCGUCGUGA
rnacentral:rRNA from 1 species